rnacentral:tRNA from 1 species
GAAAAAGUACUGCAAGAA